rnacentral:rRNA from 1 species
GACGAACCGUGCGAACGUUGUUCGGAAUCACUGGGCUUAAAGGGCGCGUAGGCGGCUUGCCAAGUCGGUGGUGAAAUCCUGCAGCUUAACUGUAGAAGUGCCUCCGAUACUGGCGAGCUCGAGGGAGGUAGGGGUCUGUGGAACUUCUGGUGGAGCGGUGAAAUGCGUUGAUAUCAGAAGGAACGCCGGUGGCGAAAGCGACGGACUGGACCUCAUCUGACGCUGAGGCGCGAAAGCUAGGGGAGCAAACGGG